rnacentral:rRNA from 1 species
GAUGAACGCUGGCGGCGUGCCUAAUACAUGCCAGUCGAGCGAACAGACGAGGAGCUUGCUCCUCUGACGUUAGCGGCGGACGGGUGAGUAACACGUGGAUAACCUACCUAUAAGACUGGGAUAACUUCGGGAAACCGUAGCUAAUACCGGAUAAUAUAUUGAACCGCAUGGUUCAAUAGUGAAAGACGGUUUUGCUGUCACUUAUAGAUGGAUCCGCGCCGCAUUAGCUAGUUGGUAAGGUAACGGCUUACCAAGGCAACGAUGCGUAGCCGACCUGAGAGGGUGAUCGGCCACACUGGAACUGAGACACGGUCCAGACUCCUACGGGAGGCAGCAGUAGGGAAUCUUCUGCAAUGAGCGAAAGCCUGACGGAGCAACGCCGCGUGAGUGAUGAAGGUCUUCGGAUCGUAAAACUCUGUUAUUAGGGAAGAACAAAUGUGUAAGUAACUAUGCACGUCUUGACGGUACCUAAUCAGAAAGCCACGGCUAACUACGUG